rnacentral:rRNA from 1 species
GAUGAACGCUGGCGGCGUGCCUAAUACAUGCAAGUCGAACGAAGAUGUUCUUGUGUUCGCACGAGAGCUCUUAGUGGCGGACGGGUGAGUAACGCGUUGGUGACCUGCCCUAAAGAAGGGAACAACCUCGGGAAACUGAGGCUAAUACCCUAUGUGCUCGGCAAUUCGAUUUGUCGAGUAAAGCUCCGGCGCUUCGGGAUGGGCCUGCGGCCUAUCAGCUAGUUGGUAGGGUAAAGGCCUACCAAGGCGAAGACGGGUAGGGGACCUGAGAGGGUGACCCCCCACAAUGGAACUGAAACACGGUCCAUACACCUACGGGUGGCAGCAGUAGGGAAUAUUGCACAAUGGGCGCAAGCCUGAUGCAGCAACGCCGCGUGUGCGAAGAAGGCCUUCGGGUUGUAAAGCACUUUUCGGGGAGAUGAGGAAGGACAGUAUCCCCGGAAUAAGGUUCGGCUAACUACGUG